UACGUAGGGGGCAAGCGUUGUCCGGAUUUAUUGGGCGUAAAGAGCUCGUAGGCGGUUUGGUAAGUCGGGUGUGAAAUCUCCACGCUCAACGUGGAGGGGCCACUCGAUACUGCCAUGACUCGAGUCCGGUAGAGGAGUGUGGAAUUCCUGGUGUAGCGGUGAAAUGCGCAGAUAUCAGGAGGAACACCGGUGGCGAAGGCGGGUCUCUGGGCCGAUACUGACGCUGAGGAGCGAAAGCGUGGGGAGCGAACAGG
rnacentral:rRNA from 1 species